UUCUAAGGGCGUUGAAGCAUGAUCGCAAGGACAUGUGGAGCGCUUAGAAGUGAGAAUGCCGGUGUGAGUAGCGAAAGACGGGUGAGAAUCCCGUCCACCGAUUGACUAAGGUUUCCAGAGGAAGGCUCGUCCGCUCUGGGUUAGUCGGGUCCUAAGCUGAGGCCGACAGGCGUAGGCGAUGGAUAACAGGUUGAUAUUCCUGUACCACCAUUAUUCGUUUUAAGCGAUGGGGGGACGCAGUAGGAUAGGCGAAGCGUGCUGUUGGAGUGCACGUCCAAGCAGUGAGAUUGAGUGUUAGGCAAAUCCGGCACUCUUAAGAUUGAGCUGUGAUGGGGAGAGGAACUUGUUCCUCGAGUCGUUGAUUUCACACUGCCGAGAAAAGCCUCUAGCUAGAAUAACGGUGCCCGUACCGCAAACCGACACAGGUAGUCAAGAUGAGAAUUCUAAGGUGAGCGAGCGAACUCUCGUUAAGGAACUCGGCAAAAUGACCCCGUAACUUCGGGAGAAGGGGUGCUCUUUGAGGUUCACGCUUCGAAGAGCCGCAGUGAAUAGGCCCAAGCGACUGUUUAUCAAAAACACAGGU
rnacentral:rRNA from 1 species